GAUGAACGCUGGCGGCGUGCCUAAUACAUGCAAGUCGAGCGAACAGAUAAGGAGCUUGCUCCUUUGACGUUAGCGGCGGACGGGUGAGUUACACGUGGAUAACCUACCUAUAAGACUGGGAUAACUUCGGGAAACCGGAGCUAAUACCGGAUAACAUAUUGAACCGCAUGGUUCAAUAGUGAAAGGCGGCUUUGCUGUCACUUAUAGAUGGAUCCGCGCCGUAUUAGCUAGUUGGUAAGGUAACGGCUUACCAAGGCAACGAUACGUAGCCGACCUGAGAGGGGGCUCGGCAAAACGGAAACUGAGAACGGUGCAAGACCCUGAGGGGGGGCGGAAGGAGGAAACUUUCGGAAAGGGGGGAAAGCCUGAGGGGGAAACGGCGGGGGAGGGAGGAAGGCUUGCGAAUGGAAAAACCUUUUUAUAGGGGAAAAAAAAAUGGGUAAGAAAUUGUGCAAAUCUGAGGGGAACCUGUCAAAAAAGCCCCGGUAAACUCGGG
rnacentral:rRNA from 1 species